AAAUUGAAGAGUUUGAUCAUGGCUCAGAUUGAACGCUGGCGGCAGGCCUAACACAUGCAAGUCGAACGGUAACAGGAAGCAGCUUGCUGCUUUGCUGACAAGUGGCGGACGGGUGAGUAAUGUCUGGGAAACUGCCUGAUGGAGGGGGAUAACUACUGGAAACGGUAGCUAAUACCGCAUAAUGUCGCAAGACCAAAGAGGGGGACCUUCGGGCCUCUUGCCAUUGGAUGUGCCCAGAUGGGAUUAGCUAGUAGGUGGGGUAACGGCUCACCUAGGCGACGAUCCCUAGCUGGUCUGAGAGGAUGACCAGCCACACUGGAACUGAGACACGGUCCAGACUCCUACGGGAGGCAGCAGUGGGGAAUAUUGCACAAUGGGCGCAAGCCUGAUGCAGCCAUGCCGCGUGUAUGAAGAAGGCCUUCGGGUUGUAAAGUACUUUCAGCGGGGAGGAAGGGAGUAAAGUUAA
rnacentral:rRNA from 1 species